rnacentral:SRP_RNA from 1 species
UGGAGGCUGGCGUGGACGAGCGCCUCGCCAACCGGGUCAGGUCCGGAAGGAAGCAGCCCUAACGAGUUUUCCUCGGGUCGCGCCAGUCUCUGCUU